GUCUCUACGACUUGUAACGUUAGACAGCCAUUUACAGCCAUUAUUAGAUCUUGAUAGAGGCAUGCUGCGUGCUGAUUGGCUCACUGAUGAGAUAUACUCCUU